AUUAACAUAGCCCAGUGGUUAAGGUAAUGGACUAUUAUGCAAGUGAUCAGGGUUUGAAUCCCGGUGUGAGGU